ACGCACGCUGGCGGCGUGCUUCACCCCUGCCAGUCGCACGGAAAGGCCCUGCUUUUGUGGGGUGCUCGAGUGGCGAACGGGUGAGUAACACGUGAGUAACCUGCCCUUGACUUUGGGAUAACUUCAGGAAACUGGGGCUAAUACCGGAUAGGAGCUCCUGCUGCAUGGUGGGGGUUGGAAAGUUUCGGCGGUUGGGGAUGGACUCGCGGCUUAUCAGCUUGUUGGUGGGGUAGUGGCUUACCAAGGCUUUGACGGGUAGCCGGCCUGAGAGGGUGACCGGCCACAUUGGGACUGAGAUACGGCCCAGACUCCUACGGGAGGCAGCAGUGGGGAAUAUUGCACAAUGGGCGGAAGCCUGAUGCAGCAACACCGCGUGCGGGAUGACGGCCUUCGGGUUGUAAACCGCUUUCGCCUGUGACGAAGCGUGAGUGACGGUAAUGGGUAAAGAAGCACCGGCUAACUACGUG
rnacentral:rRNA from 1 species